AGUGAACGCUGGCGGUAGGCCUAACACAUGCAAGUCGAACGGCAGCACAGUAAGAGCUUGCUCUUACGGGUGGCGAGUGGCGGACGGGUGAGGAAUACAUCGGAAUCUACUUUUUCGUGGGGGAUAACGUAGGGAAACUUACGCUAAUACCGCAUACGACCUACGGGUGAAAGCAGGUGAUCUUCGGACCUUUCGCGAUUGAAUGAGCCGAUGUCGGAUUAGCUAGUUGGCGGGGUAAAGGCCCACCAAGGCGACGAUCCGUAGCUGGUCUGAGAGGAUGAUCAGCCACACUGGAAAUGAGAAACGGUCCAGACUCCUACGGGAGGCAGCAGUGGGGAAUAUUGGACAAAGGGCGCAAGCCUGAUCCAGCCAUACCGCGUGGGUGAAGAAGGCCUUCGGGUUGUAAAGCCCUUUUGUUGGGAAAGAAAAGCAGCAGGUUAAUAACCCGCUGUUCUGACGGUACCCAAAGAAUAAGCACCGGCUAACUUCGUG
rnacentral:rRNA from 1 species